AAGUCGUAACAAGGUCUCCGUUGGUGAACCAGCGGAGGGAUCAUUAAAGAGUCGUAAAAAACUCCCAAACCCACUGUGAAUCUACCUGUUCGUUGCUUCGGCAGGCGGCCCCAGGGCGGGGCCUCGGCCUAUUUUUAGGUGCCUGCCGGAGGUUAACCAAACUCUGUUUUACUGGUCUUCUGAAUGCAAAAACAAAAUAAUUAAAA
rnacentral:misc_RNA from 1 species